UCAUAGCCGCCGUGAACGCCACGCGAGCAGCAGCCAUGGCCGGCAGAAACACUAAGCAACCUAGCCUAAAUUACUGCUACACACGCCGCACGCGGGGUCCGGCGACCCUCCUCCCGCCGACGACCGGAGGUCGUCGGGGAGGCUUGCACAUGUGAUCUGUUGGAAGAAAUGACGGCUAAUGCGGUCUCGUAACCUUCACUCUUCACUCCGUUUCAUCGUGAGCACGCUCUUCCCGUCAAAAAGAAAAAGAAAAACAAGAACGGUGAGGACGCCCGCCCAGACUGAGGAUGAGGCCGGCGGCCGGAGAUGAUCCCGGAUCAGCGGGGACGCGGAAUCCGGCGUCGUCGGUCGGGGAGGCGUCCAGUGGAAGGUGGACUCGCUCCAGAGGAAGAUUGCUGGCGGCGGAGAACAGUGGCCCGGCGCAGUCAGUCGAAGAUUCUCGAGGCGAUCGGCGGAGGGAGGAGGGUUUCAGUGCGAGGAAGAAGCGGGCGGCAGCGGGCAGUGAAAGGAUGCUGUCCGCGGAGGAAGUCGCCUUAGCCGCCCGGCCGCUCCCUCCCCCGGAGCCUCCCUUCCCCAAAUCUGGCCGACAUGAUGAUGUGGUGGCUUGGAGUGAAGACCUAAUGUAGCUCGGAGAUGAAGAUAGUAGCCUUCUGACCCUUAGAGCGGUCAGGGGCACUAAAUCCGUGAAAUCUGCAAUGAGCUUGGAUGACAGAGACAUGAUCCUGGAUGUGGCCUGCUCUGUUGUGAAUGUAUCAGCCACCGAGCCUGAUGGAAAUGUGGUUGUAUACUGCACCGGCAUCAUCACCGAGUAUGACGAGGUCGGUAAGUGCGCAAAAGUCUUGUCUUCUUCUAGCAUCAUGUGCAGCGAGGAGGGCAAGCUGCGAGACCCAAAUCAGAAGGUAUCAGUUCACCUGUCAAAUGACACUGUUGUGGAGGCACGUGUGUUGUUUUUCAAUGACCACUAUGGCGUUUCUUUUCUGGAUAUCAACACGGAGUUUCCUUUGGUGCCGGCUACUUUGGGCUCUAAACCAUACUAUGGACAAAAUGUGUUUGUCUUAGAUAGAGAUGAUGAGUAUGCUUUGGUUGUUAGCCACGGUUCGAUUCUGUAUUUGGAGAAACCUUUAUUUGAAAGGAACCACUACAUGUUUGCCAGCUAUAAUAGCUCUUUGACUUGCAUAUGUGGGCCGGUAAUUGACAAUAAUGGCGAGGUUAUAGGGCUGAUUACUUCACAUCUCCCACAAUCAGCCAUUUUAUCUAUCUCCAUAGUGAAAAAGUGCAUCCAGAUGUGGAAUAAAUUUGGCCGCAUUGCUCAUCCUAUUCAUCACCUUGAGCUAAAGACUGCGGAUGUUGGAUACGGUUUACAGAGAUGAGCUUCGGGCCCACCACAGUAUCAAGAGUGGAUUUAUUGUAGCUCGGGUGUGUCAUGACUCUACCGUUGAAAAGAUUGGCCUCCGAAGAGGGGAUGUGAUUGACUUGGAUCAUCGUUCUACUGUAGUUGAGCUUGAAGAAUUUCUUCUUGGUCUUGCUUGGGUCUUCUUGGAGAAGAAACUUGAUUCGCAUUCUACCAUAGAUGUCAAGAUACGAGUUCAUGAUAUUCGUGCAAAAACAAGUGUUUGCACUAUUUUGCCUAUGGGAUUCAGCUUUGCUGUAGUGUGCUCAUACUAUUCAUCAGCCUCAUUCCAGUCCGUGGGACCGUGACAAUGUGAAUUAGGGAUCUCGUCAUCACAAAUAUUAGCUUAGGUCGGUGUAUGGUUCGUGGCUCUAUGCUGGUCUCACUGUAAACAUCAUCUCAGGAUACAGCAGUAGGCAGCACCGGCGGCACCUCAGUCUUUGCUAAAAAUUAAGUUUUGCUCUACGCUUUUAGUUUUUUUUUGUUUCUUGCGGGUGACUAUGCUUUUAGGUAUCACUUGCCGCUAACUUGGUUGACUCAUUGUGAUGAGUGCUUCAAAAAACGUCUUAUAUUAAGUUACGGAGGGAGUAUCUAUGUUGAGCCAAUCGAUCAGUCUAAACUUUGAGCAGGCUUGAACACAAAGGUAGAGUAAUAGCAGAAAAGUUAUUGUAGUAUUUGCCUAUAAGCUUAUUCAGAAUACGAAAGCUACAUAGGCAUAUGCUAAAGGGAGAGGAAUCCAUUUAUUAUUUAUUUCUCAGCCUGGGCCCAACUAUGUAUAGAAAUCUAUGUAUUAUUGUCUGCAUCGGCAACAAAGUUACGGUGCUAAAUUUGGUGCAACCAAUGCAGACAUUGAACUGUAUAUCAUGCAGCUUAUAAGAUACAGUGUAUUGUAAAGUAACUUGAACUUCU